rnacentral:rRNA from 1 species
GACGAACGCUGGCGGCGUGCUUAACACAUGCAAGUCGAACGAAGAGCGACGGAAGCUUGCUUCUAUCAAUCUUAGUGGCGAACGGGUGAGUAACGCGUAAUCAACCUGCCCUUCAGAGGGGGACAACAGUUGGAAACGACUGCUAAUACCGCAUACGAUCUAACCUCGGCAUCGAGGAUAGAUGAAAGGUGGCCUCUACAUGUAAGCUCUCACUGAAGGAGGGGAUUGCGUCUGAUUAGCUAGUUGGAGGGGUAACGGCCAACCAAGGCGAUGAUCAGUAGCCGGUCUGAGAGGAUGAACGGCCACAUUGGGACUGAGACACGGCCCAGACUCCUACGGGAGGCAGCAGUGGGGAAUCUUCCGCAAUGGACGAAAGUCUGACGGAGCAACGCCGCGGGAGUGAUGACGGCCUUCGGGUUGUAAAGCUCUGUUAAUCGGGACGAAAGGCCUUCUUGCGAAUAGGGAGAAGGAUUGGCGGUACCGGAAUAGAAAGCCACGGCUAACUACGUG